rnacentral:rRNA from 1 species
CCCAGACUCCUACGGGAGGCAGCAGUGAGGAAUAUUGGUCAAUGGGCGCGAGCCUGAACCAGCCAAGUCGCGUGAGGGAAGACGGUCCUAUGGAUUGUAAACCUCUUUUGUCGGGGAGCAAAAGACGCCACGCGUGGCGUUCCGAGAGUACCCGAAGAAAAAGCAUCGGCUAACUCCGUGCCAGCAGCCGCGGUAAUACGUAGGUGGCAAGCGUUGUCCGGAUUUACUGGGUGUAAAGGGCGUGCAGCCGGGCCGACAAGUCAGAUGUGAAAUCCGCGGGCUUAACCCGCGAACUGCAUUUGAAACUAUAGGUCUUGAGUGCCGGAGAGGUAAUCGGAAUUCCUUGUGUAGCGGUGAAAUGCGUAGAUAUAAGGAAGAACACCAGUGGCGAAGGCGGAUUACUGGACGGUAACUGACGGUGAGGCGCGAAAGCGUGGGGAGCAAACAGGAUUAGAUACCCUUGUAGU